AUAAAAAUGGAGGUCAAAAAGCGAACAGGGAGAAAAGAAAAGUAAUUGGACUGGGUAAAGUUCCCAUAAUUCUAUAAUUAUGUUCUACACCUGGUCCGUCUGGUAACUUGUCUCUCUCCUCGACAGUGAACUCUUCUGUCUGAUGAGGACCGGGGAUGAACACACUGUGAGAGCGUUCUGUCCAUUCCUUCGUGACUGAUUAUAUUGGGGUCUGAGGAGCAGAACAGUGCCUAUUCUUGCUUAGCGCUUAGUCCACAGACAGCUGAAAGAAGACGACAGAAGGGAGGAAAAUAAUCCUGGCAGCACAUUGAAGAAUCAGACGUUAAUCUACUUAAACACCUCAUGAAUACUUGACUACUCAGUGGCCACUAAGUGUUGUAACCACUUUCUAGCUAAAGUUCUAUAGAUACUUCAGAUCAGUAAGUACUCACCAGACUUGGAACAGGGCUCUUCAGCAGAAUUUGGUUUUACAUAUCAUAACUGCAAAUGCGAUAUAAGUUAUCCAAAAGAAGAGGAGAUGCAUUCCAACAGUUCAAAAUGGAUAGUAUUUCAGAAUCUGCUGAUCAUCUGGGAUUUUCAUGCACUGCAGUCUCUGGAAUUUGCACAGAAUGGUGUACAGCAGUUCUGUGGGUGGAAACACUUUGUUGAGAGGGUAGAGGAGAAUGGCCAGACUGGUUUGAGCCACCACUAAGGGCGAUGGUAACACAAAUAGCCACUCUUAACAACCGUGGUGAGCAGGAAAGCAUCUCGGAGUGCAUGUCAAACCUUGAAGCAGAUGUGUACAACAACAGAAGCCCAUAUUGGGUUCUACUCCUGUCAGCCAAGAACAGGAAUCUGGGAUGACAGUGGGCACAGGCUCUUCAAAACUAGGCAGCUGAAGAUGUUUUUCCAAACUUCGAAACCGUCCAGUUUGAGUCAUGGCCUUGCUUUUUGCCUUGCUCCUUCACAUCAGGACUCACUCAACACACAUAAGGAGUUGCUGAGAGCCCCUGAACAGAGUCAAACACACACAAAUGCAGCACUGGAUUAUACAGUGUCUGUGGAUGGAGGGAUCCGGUUAACUGUGCGCUGUAUGAAAGCGUGUGGUUGGCAGGAGAUGAUGACCCAGGUCCAGGUAUUUGGUCCUGCUCAGAGUUUCUGAAAAGAGCCAUUCAUGCGCAGAAUGACAUUACUCAGAAACAGGAAAAUCUUUAGUGAAUAGUACAUUGACUUUGGUCUGAAUUGCACUCUUUCAAGUGGGGCAAAGGCCAUCAGGCCCCUUCUGGAUCUGCGCUGCUCAGAAGUUUCAAAGCUGAUCAAAGAGUCCUAGUCACAGUUCUGCUGGUUGAAUGUCAGUGAAAUAUUUAGUGAUUGAAACCAGGCAUAAUAUUAUGUACAUGCAACAAAACAACAAGACUUAAGUCUCUGUAUAUAUAUAUUUUUUUACACGUAAUCCACUUCUGUUCCUUUCCAUAAUUGAUGGUUCCUGAAGUGCCAAACAAAUUCAAAGCAUAAAAAGUAUUUGUAUAAUUCUCAUACAGGCACUCCUUAGAACCUUGAAUGCUUCUGGGAAUGGGAUGGAAAUGCACCUUUAGAUAUAGCCUAAACGUCAGCUCAUUAACAGAGUUAUGUACAAACUAGUGCUGAAUGGGGUUAAGGGUUAAGGCAAUCAGGGCUUUGGGGUUAAUUACCUAAUUUGCAAAACUAUAGCUGUAGACUGUGAAUGCGUUUUAAUUAACGGCUAUGUUUAUUUGUUCCCUUUGCAGUAAUUCCCUUUCAAAGGAAAGUGCUUCUGCUUAUUUGUCCUGAAAUGGGAAACUGAUUAAAGAACAUUUGGUGGACUUGAGUGAAAUGUGCCUCUAUGUUUUAAGUCUACCAUGAACACUAUAUUCCUUUAGAGUGGGUUCUGGGACUUCUGAAUCUUAAAUUUGGCUUAUUUUCUAAUUUAUAUUGGUAUGAGCACCCUCAUGUGCAUCAUUGUAUAUGAUAUGUGUACAUCAUCAUGUAUUAUUGUUGAAGGAAGCAUGCUUGCUUAGUAUUUCUUGACUUAGUAUUUCUUGUAUGCAAAGUGCAUUCAUGCCUUGUAUGCAAAGUACUGCAUGCGCUUUUUCAAAUAAAUUCUUAUUUCAACAGUAUUAUA